GACAAUACCCCUAAUGCGCCUUGAAAUGAGGAACACAAAAGUCACGUGUAAACAAAAAAUCUCUGUGUAGUGAUAUUUGACACAUUUCUAUGAUAAACAAAUAACUGAGCUGAACCAUUAGUGUUAAUUUAGAAAAUAAGGGAACACAGAAUAAAUGUGUAAAAACCAUGGAGCUAUGAAAUGUGUUCAAAGUAUUAAAAUUUCAAAGAACUUAUUGUGUUAAAAUUGGGAUUUUUUACCAUGAGGAGCGACAUCGCAAAAGGAUACUCGGGGUUUGCUAAAUUACGGAAAAAUGAAUCACACUUCGUACCCCGAAAAUUUAACCACAUAUGUAAAAAUGUCUCAGCUUCGAAACAAGCCAUCAUACAUAUACAAGUUUACGAUAUGGCCUGAGCAACAGAAGAAAACGUUACCAUUACGGCCUAUGGAAUAACAAUUGCGCAUAUUGCCCCAUCUUGUGAGCUAGGAUCCAGAGAUGUCUUAAGCUAAUUUCACCUUGUACACCACAGAAAAUUGUUAAAAUGAUGUUCCAGACAUAUCAUUACUUUUAAAUAUGAGAUGACAAACUAAAGGUUUUAAAAAGUCCUGAAUAACUGAAAUGGACAAAAAUACACAGAUUUAUUCAGAAUGUCAUACCGAUGAAGAUCACCUAAAAAUAUUUGGAAAAAUCAGAACUAUGGAUUUCAAUAUGGGACAAUACCCCUAAUGCGCCUUGAAAUGAGGAACACAAAAGUCACGUGUAAACAAAAAAUCUCUGUGUAGUGAUAUUUGACACAUUUCUAUGAUAAACAAAUAACUGAGCUGAACCAUUAGUGUUAAUUUAGAAAAUAAGGGAACACAGAAUAAAUGUGUAAAAACCAUGGAGCUAUGAAAUGUGUUCAAAGUAUUAAAAUUUCAAAGAACUUAUUGUGUUAAAAUUGGGAUUUUUUACCAUGAGGAGCGACAUCGCAAAAGGAUACUCGGGGUUUGCUAAAUUACGGAAAAAUGAAUCACACUUCGUACCCCGAAAAUUUAACCACAUAUGUAAAAAUGUCUCAGCUUCGAAACAAGCCAUCAUACAUAUACAAGUUUACGAUAUGGCCUGAGCAACAGAAGAAAACGUUACCAUUACGGCCUAUGGAAUAACAAUUGCGCAUAUUGCCC